GACGAACGCUGGCGGCGUGCCUAAUACAUGCAAGUAGAACGCUGAAGAGAGGAGCUUGCUCUUCUUGGAUGAGUUGCGAACGGGUGAGUAACGCGUAGGUAACCUGCCUUGUAGCGGGGGAUAACUAUUGGAAACGAUAGCUAAUACCGCAUAACAAUGGAUGACACAUGUCAUUUAUUUGAAAGGGGCAAUUGCUCCACUACAAGAUGGACCUGCGUUGUAUUAGCUAGUAGGCGAGGUAAUGGCUCACCUAGGCGACGAUACAUAGCCGACCUGAGAGGGUGAUCGGCCACACUGGGACUGAGACACGGCCCAGACUCCUACGGGAGGCAGCAGUAGGGAAUCUUCGGCAAUGGGGGCAACCCUGACCGAGCAACGCCGCGUGAGUGAAGAAGGUUUUCGGAUCGUAAAGCUCUGUUGUAAGUCAAGAACGGGUGUGAGAGUGGAAAGUUCACACUGUGACGGUAGCUUACCAGAAAGGGACGGCUAACUACGU
rnacentral:rRNA from 1 species